AUGGAUAGUUUUCUUCUUCGUUCACUCGCCGUACAGUAGGUGGCGACAAUACGCCAAUAGGUGUAGUCUGCUAUAAAACCCUAAAGAAGAACAAGACAACAGCAAAUUGUUGACGAGGACAGCUAGCGACGAACAGUUCAUAUCAUACAAAGAAACAGUAGCUUCCACAAUGGAUCGGGACAAAGCUAGUCUGUCCCCCUCCACCCUCCAGGAGCCCCCAAGUCGACCGCCUCUCCGUACUUUACUGCUGGUUCUGGACGACUGCAGGAAAACACCGGGGCAGAGUGGAACUAAGAGACGAGAAGGAGAAGAGGAACAUGGAGAUUUGAUUUCAUUAAGUAAAAACCAUCUGGAUUAGA